rnacentral:rRNA from 1 species
UACAGGGGGUGCAAACGUUGCUCGGAAUCAUUGGGCGUAAAGCGCACGUAGGCGGUUCGUUAUGUCGGAUGUGAAAGCCCUUGGCUUAACCGAGGAAGUGCAUCCGAAACUGGCGAGCUAGAGUACGAAAGAGGAUCGCGGAAUUCCCGGUGUAGAGGUGAAAUUCGUAGAUAUCUGGAGGAACACCGGUGGCGAAGGCGACAUCCUGGACCAACACUGACGCUGAGGAGCGAAAGCCAGGGGAGCAAACGGG